CAAUCUGCCUUGGAGUGGGGAAUAACGGCUGGAAACAGCCGCUAAUACCGCAUGAUACAGCUGGGAGGCGUCUCCCUGGCUGUCAAAGAUUUAUCGCUCUGAGAUGAGCUCGCGUCUGAUUAGCUAGUUGGCGGGGUAACGGCCCACCAAGGCGACGAUCAGUAGCCGGACUGAGAGGUUGGCCGGCCACAUUGGGACUGAGACACGGCCCAGACUCCUACGGAAGGCAGCAG
rnacentral:rRNA from 1 species